rnacentral:lncRNA from 1 species
GGACCUUUGGGAUAGCAUUGAAAAUGUAAAUGAGGAAAAUACCUAAUUAAAAAAAAAAAUCUCAGUCUGCCUCAGGAGAUAUACCUCCUCCACCAAGGCCAGACCUCCUAAGCCUUCUGAAACCCUGCAGCCAGCUGGGGAACCAAACAUUCAAAUGCCCAGAACUAUGGGGGACAUCUUCAAACUGCCACAGUUCUGAUGCAGUGGCAGAGUUCUUACUAGUGUGCACUAGGCUUUGGUGUAGAAGUUAGGGUCCAGUUUUUCCUCCCAGCCCCAUGCUCCCAGAAAUAAGACUCAGACUCAUAAUAUAUUUACAAAUACCUUGGCCAUAUAGCUAGGCUCUUCUCAGACUAGAAUCAUAACAUAAAAAUAACUCAUUUAUUUUACUCUACAUUCUGUCUUGUGGCUGGUUACCUGUGCUCUGGUACCACGUUUCUGUCUCCUUAUAUCUUCCUGCUUUGUUCUAUCCCAGAAUUUUUUCUGCCCCCCAGAUGUCCCACCUUCUAUUCUACCCUUUCCUAUAGGUCGUAGAUUUUUUUUAAUUGACAGGUGAUUCAUCGAAUACAUAAGAUAUUCUUUCUACACCUUGAAUUUAUUCCCUUAGUAUUACACACUCAAAUAGACAAGAGCAAAUAAUUAGCUUUCUAAAUAGAUAUAGUAGACAAAGGAGAAAUAUGAUGGAGACAAUAUCUAGGAUUUAAUUAGUUCAAGAAAGGGUGUGUGUGUAUACACUCACACACACAUACACACACACACACACAUAUAUAUGGAAUUUAUUGGGUUGAUUUACAGCUGCAGUCCUGCUAAUUUAACAAUGGCUGCCUGUGAACAGAAAGUCCAUGAAUCUAGUAGUUGCUCAGUGCACAAGGCUGGAUAUCUCAAGUGAUCUUUAGUAUAUCCUGAAAUCCCAAAGAAGAACUCUAAUGCCAAUGAAAGAAUGCAGAUGCUAGCAAGGCAAGGGCAAGCAGGAAGAGAGAAAAGCUUCGGUCUUCCAUGUCCUCAUAUAGACUUGCAUCAGAAGGUAUGGCUCAGAUUAAAGGCCUGUCCUACUUCAUAGGUCUGGACUAGAAGUGGAUCUACUUCAAAUCAAGU